AUUUCUUCCUAGUUAUCAUACUAUUUCACAAAGCACUGUUCCAAACAAUGGUGUUAUUUCAUUUCCAAAUGAGAUCAGAAUCUAUUAGAAUGUACAUACAUAUAAAAUGGAAUACAAGUCCGAAACCUACACCCAACUCAUUGAGCUUCAAUUUGCUACACCAAAACUCAUGCCUCCAAGCAUCAUGCACUUCUAAAUGGAGCACAUCACUACUCAUGUACUGGAACACUCCAAUACAGCAUUAACUUCUACUCCUGGCAUCAUAGGUAUCAUCUCUAACUUCUAUAGAUGCAUACUGUACAUGUUAGUGUUACCUCUAUGUAUUUACUUACAUUCACAAGUGCUGCCUUAACCUGCUACUGCUUCUUCUGCCACUAUUACUACUCUUCAUUCCACUACCCCAAUCUUCAUCCUCUUCAUACUCUUCAUCCUCACAACCACCCAUCAUUCGACCAGAUUUCCUGCUUCUUCUUGGAGCAGCGCGUUUCCUUUUAAUGUUCGCCGUGUAGAUUGCAUAGUCCACUGUAUCUUCCUUCAAGGCAUUCUUGAAUUCCUGAUAUCUCUGGACAAAGUCUUCAUAAUUCUUUGGGUGCUCAAUGUUAAUUUCAUUCACAUUGAAAGGAAGACUUUGCUUUGAAAGACUUUCCCCAGGUUUUAGGGGAUCAUUUGGAGAAUAUGCCUGGCAACGGGCAUCAUUUAGAUCAUACAGAAUCUUGAGGUGCCUCUUUAGCCUCAGAAGUAACUGUAAAGCACCAGCUGCCAGACACUCCACCUGGAUCAUCUGCAAAUCAGUAUUUGAUAUGCCAUGUGGAUUUAAUGAUGCCAAAUGGGGCAUAUAUGGCUCCACUGAUCCAUAAUCUACACCAACAUGGUCACCUUCCAACACUUCCUCAAUUUUUGUGCUGGCAACCAUUGUUUCAGUCUGACACCUAAUAGGUUGAUUAGACUCUGUUUGAAUGCCCCCACUUCCAUUUAAUUUUUGAUAGCCUGCUUGUAAGAAUUGUAAAAAUCCCUUCAUAUUUGCCUCCACCGUGCCAGCCCUAACUUGAAUAAUCCGAUUUAUAGAAUAGAUCAAAUAAAGGGGCUCAUCAGGCGAUGUGAAUGGAAGCGAAGCAAGAAUUUCAGUGCAGUAAAUCAAAAAUGGGCCAACUAAAUCACCCAAGCUUGGCGUAUCAAAUUUGCGCACAACUGAGGCCAUAAAUUUGUUCCUUGAAAUACGAUUUCCACGGAUGAGCUUGUAGAUUCGAGAUACCCCGAGCCUUGCAUGGGUAAAUGAGCCAGGCUCUGACUUCCCUGAUAUGAUACCUGGAGCUUUGGACUGGGGUUUUAAACUUUGAG
rnacentral:misc_RNA from 1 species